CAGCAGACACAUUCCAGCCAAUCAGCAGCAGACCCUCCCUCCCCCUGGACAUCAUCCAUUUUACAUUCAUUGUGAAGCUGCAUUCUUAGUGAGUUGUCCAGGAGGUGGGAGGGUCUGGGAGGGAGGGUCUGCUGCUGAUUGGCUGGAAUGUGUCUGCUG